CACACACCCCCACUGACCCCCAUCUCCAGGCAUCUGCCCUGAUGGCCUCCAGGGCCCCUUCUGUGCCUGCAGAGAUGGCGGCCUGCUCUCUAGGUCAGGCCAGGUUCCCGGGAGCCGAGGUCUGGCUGUUAUUCCAGGAGUGCCCAGCCCCAGAGCUGCCACCUCAGGCCCCUGGAAGUUCUGCAGCCUGAGCUGCCGUCCUCAGACCACUCUGCCUCUGAGCGUGCAAGAGGCUCAGGGCCUUUCCAGGCCUCCCAGAGCCAGGCAGCAGCAGGGAGCCAAGAGCAGCCUGUGGCUCCACUGUGGCAAAGGACAGCCUAUUUAGGCUGAGAGUGGGCCUGAGAGAUCACAAAUCUUUUUUCUUUGCCCAGAACUUUUAAUUUAACCCUGACUUAAAAGGGUGUUCAGGGAGCAUCAUGCUAGAAAUCCCAAAUACGAUGAAAGAAUCCCACAACAGAGGUGAACAGAGGCCUGUUCCCAGGUUCAUCCCGGGAAGGUAGCAAGACAGCGCCCCCUUUGCCCAGCUCAGUGAAGGGCCGGGGCAGCUGAUGUGGCCUGCGCACAGGGUGAGGCAGCAAGGGUAAGAGCUUCCAGAACUCCAGGGAAGGCAGCGGAAGAGGGAAACGUUCACAGAGCACCAAGAGGGGCGCAAGGGAGCUCAACUCUACUGCCAGAACCUGCAGUCAGGGGAUUCUCAUGAGGACAAAUUAGAGCACCUGUCACUAUAGCCAGCACUCAAGAAAUGGGAUUAUCAUCAGAGGGAAAAAUGCACAGCCUCACCAGCUAUUAAACAUAUGGAAAUGAUGACAAUUUAAAGCUUAUAAAUAACAUUAGCGGUGGCUUGGAUUUAUUGUUGUGGCCUCCGGAAGAACUUGGGCACAGUGUAACUUCCUGGGGCCCGAGGUUGUUAAUCGGUGAAUUGUUCAUGAAGGACAGUGCUCACUGUGAAGGUGGGUGUCCUGGGAUGCUCUGCCUGGCCCGCGGGAGACAAGGCUAUGGUCUGACAUCCCUCAGCCUGUCCUCAUUGUCCUGGCUCUGAGAAGAAGCUACAAAACACAGUAGAAGAAAAAGAAAACAGUCUUUUAAAGACUUGUAAUGAGUUGUUAAUGAUAAAAGUAACACAUGCCAACUGGAAAAAUGUGAAUUUUUUAUCUCAGCCAAAAGUAUAAAGAUACUUCGAUUUCUUUAAAAACUUAUGGAAAUCUGUUGUUGUAUGCAUAGAUUGUUGAAUACAUCUCUGCUUAUUUAAACUCCUGAAAGUCUUAUCAAUGAGGUCAAAAGGCAGGAACAGGUUGUUUGUUGUUGUUGGUUAUUUGUCUUUUUGAGACAGGGUUUUGCUCUGUCACCAAGGCUGGAGUGCAGUGGCGCAGUCACAACUCAUUGCAGCCUCCAUCUCCUGGGCUCAAGCAAUCCUCCCACCUCAGCCUCUAGAGUAGCUAGGACUACAGGUGCACACCACCAUGCCUGGCUAAUUUUUUUUUUUUUGGUAGAGAUAGUGUCUUGCUAUGUUGCCCAGGCUGGUCUUGAACUCCUGGCCUCAAGCGAUCCUUCCAACUUGGCCUCCCAAAGCACAAGGAUUACAGGCAUGAGCCAUUGCACCAAGCAGAAACGUGUUUAAGGCUCUUAAAAAUUAUUAGAAAAUAUUGCUAACUUUUCUUCCAGAAAGGUUUUACCAAUGCAUGCUUUCAUCAGCAAUGUGUAGGAAGUAUUUCAUUGCAGCCUCAGCAAUACUGCAUAUAUUCAUUUCAAAAACAUAGCCAGCUUGCAAAAAAAUGUAUUUGGUGGUAGCAUUUCAUUAAUAAUGAAGUCACAGUUUUUCUAUGUACUGAUUUCUGACUUCUAUGAUUCUAUUUACUUGAAACUGUAGAACAUAUAUAGAGUUUUUUGGAUAUUUCUAUUACGUCUAUAUGUUGUUUUACUUUGUAAGUUCUUUUUUGAGACAGACUCUCACUCUGUCGCCCAGGCUGGAGUGCAGUGGUGGGAUGUCGGCUCACUGCAACCUCCGCCUCCCGGGUUCAAGAGAUUCUCCUGUCUCAGCCUCCUGAGUAGCUGGGACUACAGGCACCCACCACCACACCCAGCUAAUCUUUUUUGUACUUUUAGUAGAGACGAGUUUUCACCAUGUUAGCCAGGAUGGUCUUGAUCUCCUGACCUCGUGAUCUGCCCGCCUCAGCCUCCCAAAGUGCUGGGAUUACAGGAAUGAGCCACUGCACCUGGCCAACUUUGUAAGUUCUUUACUCAUUUUUCUUACAG
rnacentral:lncRNA from 1 species